AUACCUACGGGGGUCAGCAUUUUUUACUCUUCCUCCCUGUGCGCAAUCCUUACGGAGCAACGCCGCGUGAUCGAAUGAAGGCCUUCGGGUUGUAAAGAUCUGUUGACAGGGACGAAUAAGCAAUGCGAAUAGUUUUGUGUAUGACGGUACCUGUUUAGAAAGCUCCGGCUAACUACGUGCCAGCAGCCGCGGUAAUACGUAGGGAGCAAGCGUUGUCCGGAAUUACUGGGCGUAAAGGGCGCGUAGGUGGGCGCUUAAGUCAGGUGUGAAAACUCCGGGCUCAACCUGGAGACUGCACUUGAAAC
rnacentral:rRNA from 1 species